CCACUGUACCAUCUAAGCUGCAAGGAAUCUUUUUUGCCUCAGUGGACCUCAAAGGAUUUUAACUUAAAUUUCCCAUGUCCAAACCCAAUACUGUCUCCAUUGUACAGAACCACAAAGGGGAAACAGGUUUUACUACCUACUGGAGAGCUAAGACUAAAGAAGAAAACCCAGUGACAAAUCUGAAGAAUGAAUUUUAAGAAUCCUGCUCUUUGACACAGGACAAAUGUUCUAUGAUAAAGCUCUGCUCAAAUAUUUUCUUUGGAUCUCAAGAAGUAGACUGAAGUCUGAGUUUAAGAAUGCUUGGUAAACAGCCUGCAGUUGUGAAGGGCUCCUGUGAAGAAGAUUCCAUGUUAUUCCUAAAUAUUCAGGUACACAGAGCAGGCUUAGACUCGGAAGAAGGAGGAGUGAAGAUCACAGGAAGGAAUCUCAACAACCUAAGAUCUGCAGAUUAUGCUAUAAUACUGGCAGAAACUAAUGAAGACUUGGAACUGUUACUAAAGAAAGUCCAAGAAGAAAGGCAGGCUUACUACUGAACAAUAAGAAAACAAAGAUAAUGCUCAUGGUGGAUCUACACAAAUUCAGUAUAGACGAUGAGGAAACUGAAAUAUUUAAAGACUUCCCAUACUUUAGAUCAAUCCUUGAUUGGAAGGGAAAUUAUAGUCAAGAAAUUUACAACUUAACGCCAAAGUGAAGACUGUUCAUGCUAUGCUAUUUCCCAUCACUAUGUGUGGGUGUGAGAGCUGGAUGGUGAAGAAAGGUGAUAGAAAGAAAAUUAACUCAUCUGAGAUAUGGUUCUGGAGAAGUGUUCUGUGAAUGGUGAAAAAGACAAGCAAAUGGGUCCAAAAACAAAUCAGACCUCAAUUCUCCCUAGAAACCAGGAUGACAAAACUGAAACUGUUGCACUUAACCACAUCACUAGAAAAGAUGACAAUGCUUAGAAAGAUAGAGAGUUGUAAGAAGAAAGGAAGACCACACACCAGAGGGAUAGAUUCGAUCAAAGAGGACACAGCCCUAAGUGUGCAGGAACUGGGCAGGACCACUGAGGACAGAAAAUCAUCAAGAUGCCUCAUUCAUAGGGUCAGCAUGGGUAGAGAUCGACACAGUAACAAGCAGGCAGAUGCUUAAGAAGCAAGGUUACAUGUUGCUGAAAAAGAAGAAUGCAAUAGUAACAAAAUGAGGUCAUACCAUGGAAAUGCAUGGCUGAAUGGCAUGAUGGGAAUCUAGAAGAAUUUAGCAAAAGGGCUCAGCUUCUAUAAACUAUAUUCCAUAUUUCAUCAACACCACCAAUAACACUCCUGUAUGUUUCACCUUUUUUGCUGGACAACACAUUAUGUGCUUCUUAGAAAAUGGCAUCCCCGUUUUAUCAGAAACAUGUAAGAUCAGUUAUUCAUGUUGUUAUGGUAUAUGCUCAUUCACAACUUUACCCUCAGAAUCUAUAAUGAGCAAAAAAGGGAGGGGAUGCAUAACAUCACAGGUUAAUAGAUAUUUUAAGGGAUAAACAAACAGCAGGAUACCAUUUUCACUAACUUGUCCAGGCUGCAACUAUCCACUGUUUGAACCUUAACUCAUAUCAAACUAUUAUGUCUUAAUAGCUAUGGAGGUAUUCUUAUGGGGGAUCUAUAUUAGAGGUAUGAACAAGAGGAGUACAUCCUGUUUGAGCUAUAACAACUCAAGAAGCAUUUUCCAGAUUUAAAACUGCUUUGCCAA